rnacentral:rRNA from 1 species
UAGGGAAUNUUGGAGCAAAUGGGGCGGCAAGCCCUGAUCCGAGCCAUGCCGCGUGUAGUGAAGAAGGCCUUCGGAUUGUAAAGGUCUUUUGUCAGGGAAGAAAAGGCUGUUGAUAAUAAAGACAGCUGAUGACGGUACCUGAAGAAUAAGCACCGGCUAAAUACGUGCCAGCAGCCGCGGUAAUACGUAGGGUGCGAGCGUUAAUCGGAAUUACUGGGCGUAAAGCGAGCGCAGACGGUUACUUAAGCAGGAUGUGAAUCCCCGGGCUCAGCCUGGGAAUUGCGUUCUGAACUGUCUGACUAGAGUGCGUCAGAGGGAGGUGGAAUUCCACGUGUAGCAGUGAAAUGCGUAGAGAUAUGGAGGAAUACCGAUGGCGAAAGCAGCUUUCUGGUAUAUCACUGACGUUCAGGCUCGAAAGCGUGGGUAGCAAACAGGAUUAGAUACCCUGGUAGUCCACGCCCUAAACGAUGUCAAUUAGCUGUUGGGCAACUUGAUUGCUUAGUAGCGUAGCUAACGCGUGAAAUUGACCGCCUGGGGAAUACGGUCGCAAGAUUA